rnacentral:lncRNA from 1 species
GGGAUAAACCGUAAUCGUACCCCCUCCUAACUGCCAAAGUGUCAUGGCCGCCGUCGGGACCUAUUGUGCUGACAUUUACAAUGUUUACAUAUAGAAAAGUUUGUUUUUUUCUGCUUAUAAUGCCGUUUUCUAAAGAUAUUAGUGAACAAAAUCGAUUUGCUAACAAUAUUUAAUAUAUUUUAAAUUGGCUAAAAUUGGAUUCAACAGCAAAAGUCGCAUAAAUAACAUAUAAAUAACGAAUUUGUUUACCUAUUACAAAUGGGGUUAUGUGGUUGUAACUGUUUAUUUUGGGAAUAAAAUGAAAAUGAUCAAUUAAACGACUGGAAAACUAUACCUGCAAUUUCCAUCUACAAACUUUAAUGGAUCUCCAAAUUAUUAGAGUACCAACCAAAGUAUGUAGGUACUAUAAAAAUUAUGGGUUACUUUUUAAUAUUUUAGAUUUAUUUUGAUAUUUUUGUAAUUAAUUUUUGAUUUUGUAAUUCAUUGUAAGAUAUGCAUGAUUUGUGUUUAUUGUAUUUUAUUUAUUAAUAUUUUUAUUUGAACACAUAUAAAAUUAUAUCACUAUAUAUUAUAAAAGUAUGAAAUACAUUGAUUUGUAUUUGACAAUAAGUUUUUAAUUCACUACACUAAGUUUGCAGCAAUAACAUUUCUUCGUAUUCUCUAUACACGUAACAUACAACUAUUAUUUCGAUUUUCCUCAUCUGGAAUCAUUUUCGUUGGAACUUUAUUAUGUUCUUCACUUCUUCAUUGUUUUAAAGACUAAGAUGUUCUUUCAUAAUCAUAUGAAAUGUUUGAAAUCAAAAAAUAUAUUAUAAUGUUUGAAGUUUGUAUUUCACUACACUAAGUAUGCAGCAAUAACAUUUCUUCGUAUUCUCUGUCCUUCUAACAUACAACCAUUAUUUCGAUUUAUCUCAUCUUGAAACAUCAUUGGAACUUCAAGAUGUUCUUCACUUUACUAUCUAAAAGAGGAAGACAUUCAAUCAUAUUAUCCAAUGUAACACAGAAAAUAAAUAUAAUGUUUGCAUUUUUAGCAAUUUUUGCACGAUGUACCACGUAAAGUUGAUACACAAUUAAAAGUGACUGAUUAAAAAAGCAUAAAAUAAGUUUUGUUUUAACUUUAUAACAGUAAGAAGUACAUGAUCAAGUGCGUUCAUAACAAGUCUAUCCCUUUCGAAUCCCUAUGCAGUAGCUAUCUCGACACUUUUAACAAUCACAUUUAGAAGUUCAAAGGAUUGUAUUUCUACUGUACUUGAUUCAGCAUUGUUUUUAAUUAGAUCCAAACAUACAUUUAUUUGUUUAGGUAAAAAAUUUGUUUCAUUCAAAGAUGACACAUUCACAAAUAUGACUUUCGAGUCUCACUUAAACAGAAUUUUUCUUGAGGAUAAUCUGGUUUUUACUAAAAAUUUCAGAAGAAUCGUUUUUACAAGUUGACACAUUUGAUUCUGAAAAGUCUUGGAUAGUUUAGUGGCUUUCAAUUAAACAGGAAUUCCAUUUCCAAUAACCUGGCUUUCUUUACAUUCUCUAGUUUUUUGAGUUGUUGUAUAUUUUCAUGUCUUUUGAGAGACCUUUUUAAAAUAAUUUUUUUAACUGUAUUGGUACUUUUUUUAUGACUUUAGCAAAGGAAUUGCAUUUGGCCUUAAUCAUGCAUCUUUUGUUGGCAAAUCUAAUUAAUAAAGAGGUAACAUUUAAUCAUAAGCUUUGAAAACAGAUCAAAAGUAACCUUAAAAGUACAUGGCAGUUUAUAAAUGUCUAUUGUAUAAUAAUAAUUAGCUUUCUUAAAAUGAAGUGAACUCUUGUGAUAGGAUAAACAUGUUUUAAUUGUAAUACUUACAGUUUUCCAGUCGUUUAAUUGAUCAUUUUCAUUUUAUUCCCAAAA